UUUUGAUAAAAGUUGGAAGAAUGGAAGUAAGUGUGAGUAUUGUAGAUCUAUGAUCUGCAGCAUGCACACUCUCAUGCAAGGAAUAAGCAUGUGUGGUGAUGGAGAGGAAUGUCCACUGGGAACUUUUGAGAUUUCUCGUGAUGACGUUGUCAUGGUCACCAAUACAAAGUCAUCACACGAAAGGAGAACCGUGGCUUAACUUAAGCUGGGGUUUAAAGGAGGAACAUACCUGAUAGAUGACCACUCUGAACUUGUUCUUGGCCAGGAGGUCUCCCUGGGUGGCUUCCACCUUUUUCACACGGAGGUUCUGGUUCUCCACGCGGACCCGCACGUCCUUGACGUGUCUGCUGACCUUGCGGGUCUUCUCCAGGAGCCUCUCCACCAUGCUGCUGCUGGCGGCGUGCUCCAUGGUCAGCUUGAGCACGUUGGCCUGGAUGCUCUUCACCGUGCCCUCCAGCUCCAGCUGACGCUCCUCCAUGCGCUGCUGCGUCACCUGCACGCUGUCCAUAAGGCCGGCCACGCGCUCCAGCAGCGCCACGAUGCUCCCGGAGUCAUCGCCACCCAGUGCUUUGUCGGCCAUGUCGCUUUGCGCCGCGAGGACAAAACGACGGAGAGUGCGGGAAGGGGGGUCGAAGGAGAAGAGAGUGAGCGGACCUCGACAGCGGGAUGUCCACCCCAAUGUGGCCGCAUGGAUCAACAGACUCCGCCCACCUCUGGUGAAAUGGGUGCGGCUAUGAGUGUAAAAGGAGAGCGAAGGCGGGCAGGUGUCCACUUCCAGCGAGGUAGAAGAAGAAAUGACAUGGACGUCAGACAAUAAAUGAUCAACGUGGAUCCUAAAAAUACCCCAAUAACCACCCACGCCCCCCCCCCCCUGUCCUUUGGCUCAGGCCAACAGAAACCCCCUCCACCAUACGUCUGUCAGCGUCACCUUUUCACUCGGUGGUCCUAAUCCCCCUUCCAGGGUAGUGUUCCACCUUUUGUGGCUCUUUUGGGAACGUUGGCGCAAACAAAAACCGUCUGGACCCAUGCCAGGGCAAAGUUCUAGAAUGCUUCCCGAACCUGGAAGACGUCCAGAUGGGUCAAAGGAGAAGGGAGGGAGAUUUGGGAAUAUAAAGAGAAUGACCACCAUGAGGAGACUGGGGGACUUCCUGCACCAGCUGACACCUAAAAUUAUCUUCCUUCUAUACUUAACUUCCUUCAGGAGCACUUGCUUUUCAUGCCUCUGCACCCCAGAUGGAUGGGCUUUUUCGAUUAAUCACCCAUUGCUUUCCUUUGUAACGCAUGACGAAUCAAACAACAAUGCGGUUUCUUUUUAACCACGGUGAUUUAAUUCUAGAACAUUCAACUACACAUGCACAUCAUGCAACAGCUACAGCAGAACCACCUGCUUCUUCUAGCACAGGGAAACAACCAACACGGACACUUGGUACCAACAUUACAAAUCAAAUAAUAAAAGAAAACCAAAAAUCUUUUUAAAUUAUCAUCUCGACAAAACACCACAUUGGAAUCCAUUUCCGGAAUGGCGUCACGUGGAAAGUAAAAAGCAACUGUACACGUCAGUUUGGACCUCAGGACUGGAAAGAGUAGAAAAAACAGCAUUUUGGUUCUAAAGUUGACAUGAAAGUGGACCACUAACCCCCACCCUCAGGUGCAGCAAGUUGGGCCUGCUCGUGGGCGAAUGGUGCGUUCAAGAGCUGAGAGUUGGAGCCUUUAACUGCUCUCAAGAUGGCUGCCGACUGGCUGUUUUUUAAAUAAAGUUAUCAACAGCAUAGACAUUUGAAAUGGUCACUGCGCGCUACGCAGGACUUAAAAGUAAGGUAGAAAAAAUGUGCUGCUUCUUUCCAAAUGUAAACAAAAGCUAAGAGGCGUUAGCGUGCAAAGAAAAGGAAGUUCAUCAACUAAUCGGAGCCUCCACAGUGUUUGAGGUCGUCUGCGCUCGCUGGCAAAACCAAAAAAUUGACCACGUCCCAAAAAGAAAAGGUCAAAAAAAUAAGGCCCCUUAGGAGUUGAAAAAUAUAUCUUAAAAAAAAAAAAAAAAAAAAAAAAGAGGCACCAGAAGUGGAGCUGUAAAAAAGUGGUCAGUCUGUGUGGUACCAAAAAGGUGUAUUGAAUAAAAAGGUUUUGGAGGGAACGUCUGCUACAUCAUCCUGGACGACGUUCCCGAGGGGAAGUGUCCCAAAUGCUGCUUCUGUCGCCGUCCACGCUUGGCCUUGUUGCACCUCCUGCAGGACAAGACAGGAAGUACACGUCAACAUGCAGGGUUUCCACACGACUGGCAUGAUGCGAAAGAGUACCCUCUAGUGGUGUCCUCGUGUAACUGCAGCAGCCUCAUUAAAAACAAGUGAGUGACAUGGAGUUGAACAGAAAACUGUUUCAUCAUCGUUUUUUACCCUCUAAAAAAUGGGUGUCAAACUCUGGCCCGCGGGCCAAAUCUGGCCCGCCGUGUAAUUUAAUUUGGCCCUUGAGGCAAUAGCAAUUUAGCAUUAGAGCUGGCCCGUCGGUGUUAUAUAGCGUCGGUGCCGCUGUAACACCGCAUUCACUGCUAAUACUCAUACUUGCCAACCCUCGUAUCUUUCCCGAUAGACUCCCAAAGUUCAGUGCCCCUCCUGAAAAUCUCCGGGGGCAACCAUUCUCCCGAAUUUCUACCUAUUUCCACCUAGACAACUAUAUUGGGGGCGUGCAUUUAAGGCACUGCCUUUAGCGUUCUCUACAACCUGUCGUCACGUCCGCUUUUCCCCCAUACUAACAGCAUGUCACAUAUUUGUGGCUUUUACACACACACACACAGACACACACACAAGUGAAUGCAACGCAUACUUGGUCAACGGCCAUACAGGUCACACUGAGGGUGGCUGUAUAAACAACUUUAGCACUGUUACAAAUAUGCGCCACACUGUGAACCCACACCAAACAAGAAUGACAAACACAUUUUGGGUGAACAUCCGCACGGAACAAAUACCCAGAAACCCUUGCAGCACUAACUCUUCCGGGAAACUUCCAGCAAACUGACCAAUAAUUAACGUUUUAUUCAUGCAUUUUCUCUUGCUACUUUAAGGCUCGAAUGUUUGGUUCAUUCAUUAUUGUUAUUUUAUUUUCAAAUGUAUUAUUAGCCUGUGGAAAAAAUUUGAUAUUUACCUCAGAAGAUUCCAAAUAGAAAAAAAAGACAUAACAUUUUUAUUUAAAUUUUAUUUGAUAUGCCAAUGACAUUCUUUUAAUUAUUAUUAUUAUUAUUUGAAACUGGAUUUUGCAUGUCACUAAAGUUAUAUAAGCCUUGCUUGUUCAAUAUUUAAUGCCCAACUUGUUUGGGUCCCUAUUAAAAGGUUAAUUUGUUCAACCUUGGCCCGCGGCUUUGUUCCGUUUAAAAUUUUGGCCCACUCUGUAUUUGAGUUUGACACUCCUGCUCUAAAAUAUCGGAUCAACAUAAGAUGACAUGGUGUACCAUAUAAGAUAACCUGGCGAACCACAUAACGCAAUGCAGUGGACAACAUAAAAUGACGUUCCGGCCCAUUUCAAAUAAAGUGGCGGACCACAUAAAGUAAUUUGGCAGGCCACCUUCAUUCACGUAACGGGACACAUAAAAUAAAGUGGCGUGGCACUUAAAAUAUUGUUGCGGGCUACAAAAUUACGCGGCGGAGCACUUAAAAUAAUAUGGCGGACCACUUCAAAUAAAAUGGCAGGCCAUAUAAAAUGUUGUGGCAGGCCACCUGAAGUAAUUUAGCGGGCCACAUGAAAUGACAUGGAGAGCCACUUAAAAUAAUGUGCCUGAUCACAUAAAAAGACGUGGCGGGCCACGUAAAAUAACGUCACAGAACAGAUGACAUUACCUCACGGACCACAUAGAACAUGGGUGUCAAACUCUGGCCCGCCGUGUAAUUUCAUUUGGCCCUUGAGGUAAUAUCAAAUUAAGAUUAGAGCUGGCCUGCCGGUAUUAUACAGCGGCGAUGCCUCUGUAACACUGCAUUCACCGCUGAUACUCAUACUUGCCAACCCUCACAAUUUUCCUGGGAGACUCCCAAAGUUCAGUGCCCCUCCCGAAAAUCUGCCGGAGCAACCAUUCUUCCGAAUUUCUCCCGAUUUACACCGGGACAACAAUAUUGGGGGCGUGCCAUAAAGGCACCGCCUUUAGCGUCCUCUACAGCCUGUCGUCACGUCCGCUUUUCCGCCAUACAAACAACCUGCCGGUCCAGCCACAUAAUAUAUGCUUUAACACACACAAGUGAAUGCAAGGCAUACUUGAUCAACAGCCAUAAGGGUCACACUGAGAGUGGCCGUAUAAACAACUUUAACACUUUUACAAAUAUGCGCCACACUGUGAAGCCACACCAAACAAGAAUGACAAACACAUUUCGGGAGAACAUCCGCAUUGUAGCACAACAUAAACUCAACAGAAGAAAUACCCAGAACCCCUUGCAGCACUAACUCUUCCGGGACUCUACACUAUACACCCCUGCUACCACCAAACCCCGCUCUUCCAAUUUUUAUUUACAUUUUUUUUUAUAUGCCAUUGAUAUUUUUGACUCAUUAUUAUAAUUUGAAACUUGAUUUUGUAUGUGACUAUAGCUCGGUUGGUAGAGUGGCCGUGUCAGUAACUUGAGGGUUGCAGGUUCGAUUCCCGCUUCCGCCAUCCUAGUCACUGCCGUUGUGUCCUUGGGCAAGACACUUUACCCACCUGCUCCCAGUGCCACCCACACUGCUUUAAAUGUAACUUAGAUAUUGGGUUUCACUAUGUAAAGCGCUUUGAGUGACUAGAGAAAAAGCGCUACAUAAAUAUAAUUCACAAUUCUACCUAAGCCUUGCUUGUUUAAUAUUAAAUGCAAAACUUGUUUGGCUCCCUAUGAAAAAGUUAAUUUGUUCAACCCUUGGCCCGCGGCUUUGUUCAGUUUUAAAUUUUGGCCCACUCUGUAUUUGAGUUUGACACCCCUGACAUAGAAUGAUGUGGCGGGCUACAUAAAAUGAUGUGGGGGGGCAAGAUCUGGCCCCCGGGCCUUGAUCUUUAAAAGCACCUGUGACGAGGGCGACGUACACACCUGGUGAAACACAUGACCACCGCGACAAUGAUGGCGAUCUGGACGGCUCCGAUAAUGGCGGCGAUGAGGACGUAAUGCAGCUUCUGACCACUGGGGACCACGUAGAGGAUGUUGAAGUCCAGAAGCUCGUCACACUGCGGACCGCCGUACGCCGACUCACACCUGCGCGCGUUCACAUCGUCGUCACGUCAACGUCGUCACGGUAACAGGCAUCUUCACAGCGAAGCCGAGGUCUUACCUGCACGUGGCCUGGUUGCUUCGCAUCUCGCACUGGCCGUGUAUGCAAACCAUGGCGUGGUCUGGAGGGCAGGGGUCGUAGCCUUCCACAAAGCCCUGCCCCUCGCCAGGUUUGGACACACCUGGAAGGAAAUCAACAGUUACGAUUGGCUGACAGAAGGAAUCAGGAGACGCACGUCGAGGACACGUUACCAAAACCGUCUGGUUUCAUCUUUAAGCCGUCGUCCUUCCUGCUUUUAUCUGAAACCACAGAAGAAGAAUGUAACCAGCACUCUCAGGCAAACAGAGAUGGAGGUCAAAAGGAUGAAGGAGGGCAGCUCAAUUUUUUUUACUCGUGGUUUCCACCGCCCUCGAGACAUGAUUCUCCGGUUACCUUGACAACGUCCCACGUGUCUGAUGUCGAUCUUCAGCUGCUUGAGGCAGGACGCCUCCCGGACGUGACAAGGUGUGUCGUAAGUGAGACCGUCGCUGCCGCACACCGGGUUGUCGUUGUGGCCGUUGCACACGAUGUUACACAUACACCUGUACGCGGGC